rnacentral:rRNA from 1 species
AAAGAGAAGCUUGCUUCUUUUUGAAUCUAGUGGCAAACGGGUGAGUAACACGUAAACAACCUGCCUUCAGGAUGGGGACAACAGACGGAAACGACUGCUAAUACCGAAUGUGUUCCGGAGACCGCAUGAUUUCCGGAAGAAAGGAUGGCCUCUAUUUAUAAGCUAUCGCCUGAAGAGGGGUUUGCGUCUGAUUAGGCAGUUGGUGAGGUAACGGCCCACCAAACCUACGAUCAGUAGCCGGUCUGAGAGGAUGAACGGCCACACUGGAACUGAGACACGGUCCAGACUCCUACGGGAGGCAGCAGUGGGGAAUCUUCCGCAAUGGACGAAAGUCUGACGGAGCAACGCCGCGUGAGUGAUGACGGCCUUCGGGUUGUAAAG